rnacentral:rRNA from 1 species
GGGGAAUUUUGGACAAUGGGCGCAAGCCUGAUCCAGCAAUGCCGCGUGAGUGAAGAAGGCCUUCGGGUUGUAAACCGCUUUUGUCAGGGAAGAAACGCGCUGGGCUAAUACCCCGGCGUAAUGACGGUACCUGAAGAAUAAGCACCGGCUAACUACGUGCCAGCAGCCGCGGUAAUACGGAGGGGGCUAGCGUUGUUCGGAAUUACUGGGCGUAAAGCGUACGUAGGCGGCUUUGUAAGUUAGAGGUGAAAGCCCAGAGCUCAACUCUGGAAUUGCCUUUAAGACUGCAUCGCUUGAAUCGUGGAGAGGUUAGUGGAAUUCCGAGUGUAGAGGUGAAAUUCGUAGAUAUUCGGAAGAACACCAGUGGCGAAGGCGACUAACUGGACACGUAUUGACGCUGAGGUACGAAAGCGUGGGGAGCAAA